CUACAGGACAGCAGCGGAGCUCUGUGUCGCGGUGGUUCAUCUUAUUCAGCCCACAUCUCUCUGAGGUUCAACUGUUACAAUGAUCCAAUAGAAACGGCUUCAUUCACGCUCUGUCAGAGACAGAGAGAGAGAUACAGAGAGACAGAGAGAGAGAGGCAGAGAGAGAGGGAAUAGGAUCAGCCAUGGAGGACUAGGAAGAGGAUGACCCUGUGGUCUUGCCAAGGAUGAGCAGAGACGAGGACAGACGCUCCACUAUGAAUAAGGCCAAAAGGUAAGAAACCAGUAGAGUUAGGUUAUGGGGCAGACUGAGAGGGAUAAUUGGAGUAAUUCACUCGCUGCUCUGCUUCUUAACAAGUGUCCGAAUAAUAUCAUUAGUGACUAUUGGUGAGGUAGGGAGGCUGAACCAGGGUUUUGGUGCUUACAGAGGGUAGAAGUGCAGGGUGCAGUCAGUGUGAACUCUCUCUUUCUGUGGUGAUCUUAAACACUGUGGUUUGUGUCAGUUUCUAUGCUGAGGUAGACGUUAGGUUUCUGUUCUCUAACAGACAGAAACACAACCGUCACUAGACCAGUAGAAACAUGUUGUAAUGAACCUCCGUUCUCCGGCAGACAGAAACACAGCGGUCACUGUACUGAUAUUGAAGUACCGUAAUGAUUUUGAAGUACUGUACUGCAUCUUACAUCAUGCGUUUUGUUUUUUACAAAGAUGUAUUCACAGUCCUGGGGACUUUUUAGUAGCUUCCUUAUGCUUACUCAGCCAGACAGUGUCCUUGUGAGGGGGAACUAGCUACUGUGUGUGUGUGUGUGUGUGUGUGUGUGUGUGUGUGUGUGUGUGUGUGUGUGUGUGUGUGUGUGUGUGUGUGUGUGUGUGUGUGUGUGUGUGUAUGAUGAUGGUGUGUGUUUGACCUAAAUACCACUGAAGAAUGAUCCAGUGUGGUUUCAGCUCAAAUCAUUUGUAUCUAGUGAACACAAGCCCUGUCUGCUGCUAGCUGUCUGUCUGUCUGUCUGUCUGGAGAGAAAGACAGAGAGAGAGACAGAGAGAGAGAGACAGAGAGAGAGACAGAGAGAGAGAGACAGAGAGAGAGACAGAGAGAGAGACAGAGAGAGAGACAGAGAGAGAGAGAGAGAGAGAGAGAGACAGAUAAAGAGAGAGAGAGACAGAGAGAAAGAGAGACAGAGAGACAGAGAGAGAGACAGAGAGAGAGACAGAGAGAGAGAGAGAGACAGAGAGAGACAGACAGAGAGAGAGAGACAGAGAGACAGAGAGAGAGACAGAGAGAGAGACAGAGAGAGAGAGACAGAGACAGAGAGACAGAGAGUUGGCUUUAACAUUUUAAUAGCGUUUUGAGUUACAGGAGGUUGGUGGCACCUUAAUUAGGGAGGACGGGCUCGUGGAAAUGGCUGGAGCAGAAACAGUUGGAAUGGUAUCAAAUACAUCAAACAUGGUUUCCAUGUGCUUGAUGCCAUUCCAUUCGCUCCGUUCCAGACAUUAUUAGGAGGUCGCCUCCACUGGUGAGAAUAGCUGUAUAGCAUUGUGAAUAUAGUUCACCCAGGUGAGGUAUAUAACUGGUGGAGGAGUAUAGUUCAUCCAGGUGAGGUAUAUAACUGGUGGGGGAGUAUAGUUCAUCCAGGUGAGGUGGAGGAGUAUAGUUCAUCCAGGUGAGGUAUAUAACUGGUGGAGGAGUAUAGUUCACCCAGGUGAGGUAUAUAACUGGUGGGGGAGUAUAGUUCAUCCAGGUGAGGUGGAGAAGUAUAGUUCAUCCAGGUGAGGUAUAAAACUGGUGGAGGAGUAUAGUUCACCCAGGUGAGGUGGAGGAGUAUAGUUCAUCCAGGUGAGGUGGGGGAGUAUAGUUCAUCCAGGUGAGGUAUAUAACUGGUGGGGGAGUAUAGUUCAUCCAGGUGAGGUAUAUAACUGGUGGGGGAGUAUAGUUCAUCCAGGUGAGGUGGAGGAGUAUAGUUCAUCCAGGUGAGGUAUAUAACUGGUGGAGGAGUAUAGUUCAUCCAGGUGAGGUAUAUAACUGGUGGAGGAGUAUAGUUCAUCCAGGUGAGGUAUAUAACUGGUGGAGGAGUAUAGUUCAUCCAGGUGAGGUGGGGGAGUAUAGUUCAUCCAGGUGAGGUAUAUAACUGGUGUGUUGUGUAUGGUGUCUAUUAUAUCCUCUAUAGCAGGGCUUUGCCUGAUGGAAUAGCUCAGAUUCAUUAGACAAGCAGAAUAACUGUUAUUCCUUGACAAGGCAUGACAACCAUAUCAGACCAUUGGAGUUUGUAGUCAGAGCUAUUUCAGUAGAAGUUAUUUCAGUAGAAGCUAUUUCAGUAGAAGGUAUUUCAGUAGAAGGUAUUUCAGUAAAAGGUGUUUCAGUAGAAGGUAUUUCAGUAGAAGCUAUUUCAGUAGAAGGUAUUUCAGUAGAAGCUAUUUCAGUAGAAGUUAUUUCAGUAGAAGCUAUUGCAGUAGAAGCUAUUUCAGUAGAAGGUAUUUCCGUAGAAGGUAUUUCAGUAGAAGCUAUUUCAGUAGAAGGUAUUUCAGUAGAAGCUAUUUCAGUAGAAGGUAUUUCAGUAGAAGGUAUUUCAGGAGAAGCUAUUUCAGUAGAAGGUAUUUCAGUAGAAGGCAUUUCAGAAGAAGGUAUUUCAGUAGUUAAAGUACUAGAUGUAUUUCAUUGAGGUAGUUUGCAUGUUGCAUCAAAUCUUUUCAUGACUCUGUAAGCAGUGGUCAGUAUAAUAUUCUUGGGUUCACUUUACUGUGCUGUGAAAAUCUCUCCAUUUUAUUUUAGGCUGCAUCUAUUUGUAGAGCUAUUGUAGUAGAAAAUGUCUCUGUUUUGAUCCGUGUGUUUUCUGUUGUAGUUGAACUCAGCUCGUAUCAGAUUGCCUGGAACUGUGACGGUUGGUGAGGUGUUAAGGUGGACUGGAGGAAGUGAUCUGUAUCAGACUAUUAAGGUGGACUGGAGGAGUUUAACUGUGAGGGUUGGUGAGGUGUUAAGGUGGCCUGGAGGACGUGGUCUGUAUCAGACUAUUAAGGUGGACUGGAGGAGUUGUAACAAACAGUUGUUGGCAUGCUAACCUGUACAACAGGUCAAUUCAACUGGUUGAAUACAUAUUGAACUCUAUGAAUAACUUUUACAUGAGUUGGGGUCAUUUACCUUCUAGUUCCCUCACUUUAUUACCUGCUGCUUUUGUCCUUUUGUAGUUAUCAAGAAGUCCAUUCCAUUUCAAUUCAUCAUUCAAAGUCUAGAUAUAAAGUGAUAAGAGAAACCAGAGAGAUAGUAAGAGAGAACAAAGAGACAACAAAGAGAUAGAAAGAGAGAUAGUAAGAGAGAACAAAGAGACAACAAAGAGAUAGAAAGAGAGAUAGUAAGAGAGAACAGAGAGAGUUAGCGAGAGAGAGAAAAUAGAGAGAUACAAAGAGAGAUACAAAGAGAAAUACAAAGAGAAAUACAAAGAGAGAACAGAGAGAGUUAGCGAGAGAGAGAAAAUAGAGAGAUAGCCCAGCCAACCAGAGCCAUCUACCUCUAGUAGCCCAGCCAACCAGAGCCAUCUACCUCUAGUAGCCCAGCCAACCAGAGCCAUCUACCUCUAGUAGCCCAGCCAACCAGAGCCAUCUACCACUAGUAGCCCAGCCAACCAGACCCAUCUACCUCUAGUAGCCCAGCCAACCAGAGCCAUCUACCACUAGUAGCCCAGCCAACCAGACCCAUCUACCUCUAGUAGCCCAGCCAACCAGAGCCAUCUACCUCUAGUAGCCCAGCCAACCAGAGCCAUCUACCUCUAGUAGCCCAGCCAACCAGAGCCAUCUACCUCUAGUAGCCCAGCCAACCAGAGCCAUCUACCUCUAGUCUCCCAGCCAACCAGACCCAUCUACCUCUAGUAACCCAGCCAACCAGACCCAUCUACCUCUAGUAGCCCAGCCAACCAGACCCAUCUACCUCUAGUAGCCCAGCCAACCAGACCCAUCUACCUCUAGUAGCCCAGCCAACCUACAUCAGACCAGUAUUCUGCAGCAGGCCCUACCGUACUACCCACCUACAUCAGACCAGUAUUCUGCAGCAGGCCCUACCGUACUACCCACCUACAUCAGACCAGUAUUCUGCAG
rnacentral:lncRNA from 1 species